GUCACGCGACAGGGGCGUCCGGGCGACCGGGCUGAGAAGCACCCUUUGAACCUGAACCAGAUCAUGCUGGCGUAGGGAGUCCGCGGCGGGCGCAGG
rnacentral:ncRNA from 2 species